rnacentral:lncRNA from 1 species
AAAUGGAAAAAAGCUAGCGUCAUUGAACUGAACUCUUCCUCUCUCAAACUCUCCAUCGCUCUCAAUCUGUACCAGACCACUCUCACGCUCUCAAACUCGCUCAUACCUAUCUCUCUCAAUCUCACGAUCGCUCUUAACUCAGUCAUCAUCCCUCAAUCUCACGAUCGCUCUUACCUCAGUCAUCAUCCCUCAAUCAAAGCGCGAAAGGAUAAAGAAAAAUGGACAGGACGGCUCACCUUCGACGGUGACGGCGAGCUCAGGUAGUCCUUGAAUC